rnacentral:rRNA from 1 species
CUCGUAGUUGGAUUUCUGUUAAUAAUUUAUAUAUAAUAUUUGAUUAAUAUUUAUAUAAUAUUAACAUAAUUCAUAUUACUAAAUUUAUUAGUAUAUGAAAUUUUACUUUGAGAAAAUUAGAGUGCUUAAAGCAGGCAUAUGCCUUGAAUACUCCAGCAUGGAAUAAUAUUAAAGAUUUUUAUCUUUCUUAUUGGUUCUAAGAUAAAAAUAAUGAUUAAUAGGGACAGUUGGGGGCAUUUGUAUUUAACAGUCAGAGGUGAAAUUCUUAGAUUUGUUAAAGACAAACUAAUGCGAAAGCAUUUGCCAAGGAUGUUUUCAUUAAUCAAGAACGAAAGUUAGGGGAUCGAAGACGAUCAGAUACCGUCGUAGUCUUAACCAUAAACUAUGCCAACUAGAGAUUGGAGGUUGUUCCUUACUCCUUCAGCACCUUAA